rnacentral:rRNA from 1 species
UACGUAGGGGGCAAGCGUUGUCCGGAAUCAUUGGGCGUAAAGAGCGCGUAGGCGGCCAGAUAAGUCCGCUGUGAAAUCUCGAGGCUCAACCUCGAGACGUCGGCGGAAACCAUCUGGCUAGAGUCCGGAAGAGGAGAGUGGAAUUCCUGGUGUAGCGGUGAAAUGCGCAGAUAUCAGGAAGAACACCCGUGGCGAAGGCGGCUCUCUGGGACGGUACUGACGCUGAGACGCGAAAGCGUGGGGAGCGAACAGG